UACGUAGGUGGCAAGCGUUAUCCGGAAUUAUUGGGCGUAAAGCGCGCGCAGGUGGUUUCUUAAGUCUGAUGUGAAAGCCCACGGCUCAACCGUGGAGGGUCAUUGGAAACUGGGAGACUUGAGUGCAGAAGAGGAAAGUGGAAUUCCAUGUGUAGCGGUGAAAUGCGUAGAGAUUGGGAGGAACACCAGUGGCGAAGGCGACUUUCUGGACUGUAACUGACGCUGAGGCACGAAAGCGUGGGGAGCAAACAGGAUUAGAUACCCCCGUAGUCC
rnacentral:rRNA from 1 species